rnacentral:rRNA from 1 species
UACGGAGGGGGCUAGCGUUGUUCGGAAUUACUGGGCGUAAAGCGCACGUAGGCGGCUUUGUAAGUUAGAGGUGAAAGCCCAGGGCUCAACCCUGGAAUUGCCUUUAAGACUGCAUCGCUUGAACAUCGGAGAGGUAAGUGGAAUUCCGAGUGUAGAGGUGAAAUUCGUAGAUAUUCGGAAGAACACCAGUGGCGAAGGCGACUUACUGGGACGAUUGUUGACGCUGAGGUGCGAAAGCGUGGGGAGCAAACAGG